GCACUAACAAAUGCUGUCUCCUGCCCUGGGAAUGCUGGGACUCUGGGCAAUGCUUCUAGCUACUGAGUGGAUAAAAUGCUCCACAUCUAAAUAAGCAACCCCAGCGAAGUCAGAGUGCACUUCACACCUGAGCUGACAAAAGGCUGCGGCUGGUGGCUUGUUCAGAGCCUGUAUUAUGUUUCUUUCUAUUGUUUUUCACUUCACUUUCCUCCCAGUCCUGGCAGUGCAGAGGAGAAUGGACCUCCCUGAUUUCUUCCUGAUGCAUGGCAGCUGUAGGAGCAGCUGGCACUGGUUUAGCAGUGGUUUGUGUGGGCCCUUAACAGGGAGUGGGCUCAGGGGCAGGUGCUGCUGGAGCUCCAUCUCCUGAAGGCAGUUGCCUGCGUGGCCUUUCUGGCAGCUUUGGGCGCAGCCCAGGAAGGUGAGUGCAGGGCUGACUAGGGUCCUCUGCUCUGGAGCUGCUCACCACCAUGCCCCAGCUCCCCAGGCAUCCAGAGCAAUGUAAUUAGAAGCAGCGCAUCGGCUGGCAGCAAGUACUGCAGUGCCACGACUGCAGGAGGAGCCACACAGCCCCACGAGUACACCCUAGGGUGGGGAGCAAAAAGGCAGUGUAGGGUUAGGGAUGAGAAGGACUGGUGUCAAGCAGAGAAACUGGGACAGGAACCUGGUCUGGAAGAGCAGCUACCAAGGAAAAGGAAGCUUUGAGCACAGCUGUGUGGAUGCUGGGUGCCUGCAGGGAGCUCUGCCUGUGCUUGCUGCCAGGUCCUGUCUCACACAUGUGUGUCUGUGUCUGGGAAAGGGCACUGAAUGUGCCGUGUCGGGCUGUGCAACGGGAGGUGCAAUGGGAGAUCACAGCCCCUCUGCCCACCUGUGUGGCAGAAUGACUCUAAAACCACCGGCUGUAGCUGCAUACACAGCAGCUGCUUUAAAGGUGACUUAAAAAUCACUUCUGUUUCUUUCAUCUUCUCUGUUUAGAGAAGAGUAGGAACACCAGGGCCAUCCAGGACCAAUAGGUACCACAUUCAACAGCAUACAGAAGAGGUUUUUCCCGCAAUAACAUAGCAGCACAUAAAAGCCAGGGGACAUUGACAUCAAUAAUAGCGCCUCACUGUUAGGUCAUAUGUUAGUGUACAAAUAUAUUCAGUUCUGCUUGUUCAUAGAUGAUUAAUUAGCUGAGAUGUCUGAUUAAAUUGCAAAUUAAAGGCUGGCAAAUGUCAUACGAGUUCAAGUGUUCUGAUUUUGCAGAUAAGGCUGACUGACAAUUCUCAGUGAAAUUCUGGUGGGGAAGCAAGUAUUAAACAUCUAUUAUGUUUGGUAGAAAAAGGACUUGCUCUCAUGGGACGCUGAAUUAGAAACACACUUAAUUUUGAGUUUAUCACAAUGAAAUAGCCUCACUUUU